UUUCUGUGAUGAGACCAUUCUCGAUCGAUAAAUGCGAUAGGAGCCUAUGUGUUUCACGGGCAGCCGGCCAAUAGGGGAAGGUUGUGAAUCCGGCGAACCGACCGCUUUAAGAACGUGAUUGUCUUCUCUCACUCAGUUAUCAAUUGACAAAGAUGACCCAUUCUUUUUCGCCCUAAAAACGACAAUGGUAUGGUACUUUUUCUUCAAAUCGAGAUUGUGUGGGUGUCCGCUCAUGUUCACGUUACAUGCUAAAUCAGGCUUUCCUUGGAAAAACCAAGGACAACCCCUAUCUCAGUCUCCUUUCCUUUCUCUUUUCGGGAGCAGAGCUGAAAAAGAUGGACAGUAACGAUCGCGUAAUAUCAAUUUAUCGGCCUCGUCAUCGAAAGCACAAUCCCUUUCUCUUCCUAUACCGAAAUCGUCGUUUCAUUCCUCCGCAACUUCUAUCGCGGACAUGAUCCAAUCUACCUUGCAAGACAGAUUAAGAUAUAACUUAAGGCUUUCCCAAGCUGGCGCAUAACCUCUGGUAGAGGCAUUCACCCAGAGACAGAGAAGUGGGAAACCGCGGAUGAAAAGAAUACCGAGGUCUUUGAUAGCAAACUUCUACGCGAGCUUUCUAACUAAAAGGAAUCUCUUAUUCAUAUGGCAUAAAAUGGAAAAACUUGAUGGAGAUUUCUUCUCAAUUUCCAUGGUACAGUCCCUUUGCAUGCUACAGUUCCAUUACUUACUACCUGAAUUUGCUAUAUACGAAAUUCUGACAUCUACGGUACUUGUCGUCUACUUCUGGUGGAAGCAAUUCCAAAGGUGAAGAUAAUACUGAGCCGAAUAGUAAUGAGGGGAAUGCAAAAUCUAGCAAAGGUAAGAAGGGUCAAGGAAGAAUAGCAGUGACUUAUAAAAGGAAAGCACCGAAUAAAAGGAAGGAGAUCCGUCUUGAUUUUUUGCAUGUGGUCAAUGCGUUUGCUGAUUGAUAACUGUCUAAUCUUAAGAUGGUUUUGUGGCACGUUACAAACAUACAUAUACAGUCGAAAUAUAGUUGUGUUGAGUUAGGUUGAAGAAUUUUUACCAGAUUUUAAAAAUGAGAUAUAGUGCUUUCUUUGUUCGGUAGGAUAUUUUGCACUUUCAUAUUCUAGUUCCUCAUUUGAGCGUUCUUUUGCUCUGUUGGUGGGGCAUAAACUCAGAAAUAGUUUUUGUUUUUUCUUUAAAUAAUAGUAAAAGUAUGCAUUCAAGUAGUAGCUUUUUCUAAAUAGUCGAGUAAAGUCGAGUAGGGCUGGCAACAAGGACUAGGAAGAUACGGGCUAGUUUGUUUUUUUAGGGGAAGGCUUUAUGCAAGAUAUGCACGUGAGUAGGUCAGUAUAUGCGUAUUUGCCAAUAGAGGAAAACACGUAGUAAGUAGGCUUGCUUUUUCGUAGGGAUAGGUAGCUUGACAAGGGAUGCCUGGGAUAGCACAUAGGAAAAGUAUAGAAGGAAAGGCGGCGGGAAAGUAGCCAUGGUCAAGGUAAACAAGUACUAGGUCUUUUCUUUCCGAAGCAAGUCAAGGACAACUAGGUCAGUCUGGGGGGGGGGGGCAAUCCUCUAGAUCGAGACUUCUCUUCCACAGACUAAACCGAUUAAUAAACAAUUUACAGAGUAUUCUUGCAUUCCUAUCUGGUCUGCAUCUCUCCUAUCGAAACUAUAAUAUAACCUUAAUGGAAGGGCCCUGGUUCUGCCUUGCCAAACCGACAAAUCCAUAAAUUGUAGAUGAAUUCAUCGGGCUUAACGUGUGAUUUCGUUAUAAGUGAACAGGCGUCGUCGUCCAGCCGUGUCGAGUUGGGAUUAGAGGAGAGAGCUCGAAUGGAUAGGUCCAGUGAGGCGGGUGUGGAGCACGAAGGAUUAAGAAGAUCCUCUUUAUUUCCGGAAUCAACAAGAAAGACUUAGCAGCCCAAAUAAAGUAACCCUUUACCCCUCCCGAGUCUAUCGUAUCCAUAGUUUCAGUGGGUAUCGAACUGCGAAGCAAGGAAGCUAUUUCAAUUGAACGGGCUUACUUUCUUACUUGGUUCUUUUGUAGAACAACCUUGGUAUGAAGCUAGACGAUUCAAACUAUAUAAGCAUAAGCAAUUCAAACUAGACAUUUCGACCUUCAUCCCACCCGAUAAAUAAUAAGCAAAGAGCUCGUAAGUCGGGCAUAGAGAAAGCGACUCCUGAGAUUGAGGGGGA
rnacentral:lncRNA from 1 species